GCAAGUCGAACGAACUCUGGUAUUGAUUGGUGCUUGCAUCAUGAUUUACAUUUGAGUGAGUGGCGAACUGGUGAGUAACACGUGGGAAACCUGCCCAGAAGCGGGGGAUAACACCUGGAAACAGAUGCUAAUACCGCAUAACAACUUGGACCGCAUGGUCCGAGUUUGAAAGAUGGCUUCGGCUAUCACUUUUGGAUGGUCCCGCGGCGUAUUAGCUAGAUGGUGGGGUAACGGCUCACCAUGGCAAUGAUACGUAGCCGACCUGAGAGGGUAAUCGGCCACAUUGGGACUGAGACACGGCCCAAACUCCUACGGGAGGCAGCAGUAGGGAAUCUUCCACAAUGGACGAAAGUCUGAUGGAGCAACGCCGCGUGAGUGAAGAAGGGUUUCGGCUCGUAAAACUCUGUUGUUAAAGAAGAACAUAUCUGAGAGUAACUGUUCAGGUAUUGACGGUAUUUAACCAGAAAGCCACGGCUAACUACGUGCCAGCAGCCGCGGUAAUACGUAGGUGGCAAGCGUUGUCCGGAUUUAUUGGGCGUAAAGCGAGCGCAGGCGGUUUUUUAAGUCUGAUGUGAAAGCCUUCGGCUCAACCGAAGAAGUGCAUCGGAAACUGGGAAACUUGAGUGCAGAAGAGGACAGUGGAACUCCAUGUGUAGCGGUGAAAUGCGUAGAUAUAUGGAAGAACACCAGUGGCGAAGGCGGCUGUCUGGUCUGUAACUGACGCUGAGGCUCGAAAGUAUGGGUAGCAAACAGGAUUAGAUACCCUGGUAGUCCAUACCGUAAACGAUGAAUGCUAAGUGUUGGAGGGUUUCCGCCCUUCAGUGCUGCAGCUAACGCAUUAAGCAUUCCGCCUGGGGAGUACGGCCGCAAGGCUGAAACUCAAAGGAAUUGACGGGGGCCCGCACAAGCGGUGGAGCAUGUGGUUUAAUUCGAAGCUACGCGAAGAACCUUACCAGGUCUUGACAUACUAUGCAAAUCUAAGAGAUUAGACGUUCCCUUCGGGGACAUGGAUACAGGUGGUGCAUGGUUGUCGUCAGCUCGUGUCGUGAGAUGUUGGGUUAAGUCCCGCAACGAGCGCAACCCUUAUUAUCAGUUGCCAGCAUUAAGUUGGGCACUCUGGUGAGACUGCCGGUGACAAACCGGAGGAAGGUGGGGAUGACGUCAAAUCAUCAUGCCCCUUAUGACCUGGGCUACACACGUGCUACAAUGGAUGGUACAACGAGUUGCGAACUCGCGAGAGUAAGCUAAUCUCUUAAAGCCAUUCUCAGUUCGGAUUGUAGGCUGCAACUCGCCUACAUGAAGUCGGAAUCGCUAGUAAUCGCGGAUCAGCAUGCCGCGGUGAAUACGUUCCCGGGCCUUGUACACACCGCCCGUCACACCAUGAGAGUUUGUAACACCCAAAGUCGGUGGGGUAACCUUUUAGGAACCAGCCGCCUAAGG
rnacentral:rRNA from 1 species